rnacentral:rRNA from 2 species
GCCUUAUAAACUAUAUACAACUUUCAGCAACGGAUCUCUUGGCUCUCGCAUCGAUGAAGAACGCAGCGAAAUGCGAUAAGUAAUGUGAAUUGCAGAAUUCAGUGAAUCAUCGAAUCUUUGAACGCACCUUGCGCUCCUUGGUAUUCCGAGGAGCAUGCCUGUUUGAGUGUCAUUAAAUUCUCAA